rnacentral:lncRNA from 1 species
CAUUUUCUAUAACAAAAGCUUUACACAAAGGUGUCUUCAUUUGUCUAAUCAUCCAUAUCUUUGCGGUUUCAUUGCUCACUGUCAAUGCUCAAAGUCUACAAGAAAAGAAUUUAUGCCACCAUCUGCAAAGCACCCUAACGCUUCCAGUCCCAUGAAAGAAUUGUGAUUUCCAUAGAUUGUCACUCCCCUGCCUUGAAUUUACGGAUUAGUGUCACUCUCGAGAUGACCUGAAACUGUCUCCUCAUACGAGACUUCCUCUACAUCAAGAUGAAGGGUCAUGUCCUCAUGUAUUCUGCAAUAAAAACCAUCCUCUACCACUGAACAUGGUAUCAUUGCUUUUUGGAAUGGACAGUAGCACAAAUUAAUUCUCAUCUCUAGAGGUGAACAUAAGUACUACAGAUCAGCUUUCAUCAAGCUUAACUACAUGACUCACCCAUGGUCACAUAAUACCACAUCUGUCGAGUGAAAGCGCCAUUCAAUCGUCCAUGAAAUAAAUUUCUUCCUGAAACAUUUAAAAAAAAGCAUAGUUUAUAGAUGAGAAACUACAAAACUAUUCCAAAAUCACAUUCUGACCAUAAAUCUUCUUAAGCAAAAACAUAUUUAAAGAAGAGGGCUGAUAAAGGCAGAAAGUAUUAGCCAAAAGCAUGGGAAUGCCAAGGUCAAGUAGACCAAAAAACUACUUACAAAAUUCAAUGAGAAUCAUUUCUAGAAAAAAC